rnacentral:tRNA from 1 species
GCACCCGUAGCUCAGCUGGAUAGAGCAUCCGCCUUCUAAGCGGACGGUCAGUGGUUCGAAUCCACUCGGGUGUGCCA